CGCUGGCGGCGUGCUAACACAUGCAAGUCGAACGCGAAAGGGACUUCGGUCCUGAGUAAAGUGGCGCACGGGUGAGUAACGCGUAGAUAACCUGUCUUCAUGUCUGGAAUAAUACGCCGAAAGGGGUACUAAUACCGGAUAUUCUUGCUUUUCAUAAGUUAUGCAAGCAAAGGUGGCCUCUGCAUAUGCUACUGCAUGAAGAGGGGUCUGCGUACCAUUAGCUAGUAGGUGGGGUAAUGGCCUACCUAGGCGACGAUGGUUAGCGGGUCUGAGAGGAUGAUCCGCCACACUGGCACUGGAACACGGGCCAGACUCCUACGGGAGGCAGCAGUGAGGAAUAUUGCGCAAUGGGGGAAACCCUGACGCAGCGACGCCGCGUGAGUGAGGAGGGCCCUUCGGGUCGUAAAGCUCUGUCAAGAGGAAAGAAGUGCACAAUGGCUAAUACCUGUUGUAUUUGACGGUACCUCUAAAGGAAGCACCGGCUAACUCCGUGCCAGCAGCAGC
rnacentral:rRNA from 1 species